GAUGAACGCUGGCGGCGUGCCUAAUACAUGCAAGUCGAGCGAACAGAUAAGGAGCUUGCUCCUUUGACGUUAGCGGCGGACGGGUGAGUAACACGUGGAUAACCCACCUAUAAGACUGGGAUAACUUCGGGAAACCGGAGCUAAUACCGGAUAACAUAUUGAACCGCAUGGUUCAAUAGUGAAAGGCGGCUUUGCUGUCACUUAUAGAUGGAUCCGCGCCGUAUUAGCUAGUUGGUAAGGUAACGGCUUACCAAGGCAACGAUACGUAGCCGACCUGAGAGGGUGAUCGGCCACACUGGAACUGAGACACGGUCCAGACUCCUACGGGAGGCAGCAGUAGGGAAUCUUCCGCAAUGGGCGAAAGCCUGACGGAGCAACGCCGCGUGAGUGAUGAAGGUCUUCGGAUCGUAAAACUCUGUUAUCAGGGAAGAACAAAUGUGUAAGUAACUGUGCACAUCUUGACGGUACCUGAUCAGAAAGCCACGGCUAACUACGUG
rnacentral:rRNA from 1 species